rnacentral:rRNA from 1 species
GUAGUCUCGCACAGAUGCAUAUCAAUAAGCGGAGGAAAAGAAACUAGCAAGGAUUCCCUUAGUAACGGCGAGUGAAGCGGGAAGAGCUCAAAUUUGAAAUCUUCAAGGUUUUACCUUGACGAAUUGUAGUUUAAAGAAGUGUUUUCUGUUGAAGUUUAGGUAAAAGUUCUUUGGAAUAGGACAUCAUAGAGGGUGAGAAUCCCGUAUUUGACCAUUAUUUUCAGCUGUGUGAUACACUUUCAAAGAGUCGGAUUGUUUGGGAAUGCAGUCCAAAAUGGGUGGUAAAUUUCAUCUAAAGCUAAAUAUUGGCGAGAGACCGAUAGCGAACAAGUACCGUGAGGGAAAGAUGAAAAGAACUUUGAAAAGAGAGUUAAACAGUACGUGAAAUUGUCAAAAGGGAAGCGUUUGACACCAGUGUUGUUUUCUCGAAAAUCAAUUAAAAAGAGUUAGAUUUUGUUGUGUAUUGACCUUAACAGCUUGCAUUUCAAUUUUCUUGCUUUUUUUAAUGCACUUUUCGUUUAACAAGUCAACAUCAGUUUCUUUUGUUGUAAAAAGGUCAUUGGAAGGUGGCUUUCUUUUCGGAGAAAGUGUUUAUAGCCUUUGACUCCUGCAAUCGGAGAGACUGAGGUCUGCAGCGUAGAUCCUUCGGGGUUAGAUACAUUUGUGCUAAGUUAUAGCUUUUUAUAGACAACUUGUUGACUAUGAUUAGUCUUGUAGCUUACUCGCUUAUACUAUUUACCUACGCUUAGGAUGUUGAGCGCAUGUCUCUCUCU